CUCCACGCCAAAGGGGCGGGAAUCGUCAUGGAUGGCCACUGGGCAGCGUUUCCCUUCACCUUGAACACUUGAAAGCUUGCUGAUAAUGUAAGCGGAUCUAGUUGCUUUGUUCCAUUUCAGGACUUUCUGUCCUCUUCUUUUUGUCAUGCUCCACUGCAAAAUAACCAAAAGUCACUUUCAUCUUGAGAUAUGUUCCUGAUUUUAACUCCUGACCACCGUCUUCAAAGGAAGCGCCGCAUACAUGAAGCCCAGACAAGUUGUGGAACCUUUGGACUGGUACCAUGAAGACACACGUAACACACGUAAAAGGAGGCAGCGCAGAGAUUGCGUCUCUGCUCUCCUCCAGCGUACUGAGGUGGAUGUUUCCCAAAUGCAAGAAAUGCCCACGAGUGUUUUCUGUAACACCCUGCAGGUGCUAUAAGCACUUUCUCUGGGUCAGUGGCUUUGAACAACAAAGAAGUGACUCUGAUACAAUACAGGGAUUAUCGCCAGUUACCGAACAGAUUGUGGC
rnacentral:lncRNA from 1 species